AAAAGGCCUAAUUCCAUCUCCGGAUGGGAGCGGGGGAACCAGGUUUUUGGGGUUAAUCCUGAAAGUGUCAUCAGGAGGGAUGUUUUGGCGUUCAGCUUCUCUGCCAUCCUACCCGUCAGCUAACCUCGUCGGCUAACGCAGAGAAGA
rnacentral:sRNA from 1 species